ensembl:lncRNA
UUAGAAAAUGUUGGGAGACUGUGUGGCAAAGAAAGUACCUCAAUUACCAGUACAACAAUUUGAAAUAUCCAGGAAGAUCAACCCAUAGAACAAAGAAAGCUAAUAAAUUACCUUUUCUUGCAAUUGGUUUGAGGUGCCAUUAAUGUAUAGAUAUUACUAAUAUGGCAAUUAGUUUAUAUGCUAUUUGAAUAUGAUAGUAAUAUGAAGGAAGAAUUCUCUUUUUUCCGCUUCAUUACCAACAAACAACUAACUCUAAACAACAAAAAAGUAUGGAAUAAAUUACCUUGCCAAUAAAUGUGAUUUGAAGCUUUGUAUAGCAAUACAGUUGGAUGGAUAGCUGCAGUGGUAAGAAAACAUUCCGGAAUAAUUACCUAAGUUAAGGAGCUUGCCCUAGAAUGUAAAUCAACAUACUAUAUCUUUAUUUGAAAAAUUCUUGGUAGAAAAAGCGUAUCAACUGAACUGUACAGUGUGCUCAGUGAUUUGGUAAAGACUAUAACUUGUAUAAAGGCUAAUGCAAUAAGUUUGAGAUUGUUCUCUUUAUUAUGUAAUAGUUUGGAAACUUAACUGUGAUAGAGAUAUGAUGGUUAUCUAGAGGGAAAGUUCUGUUGAGCAUAUUUGAACAUUUAUUAUUGCUGCAAGAAGCCAGUUUGGUCCCAGCUUUAUAAAGAUAUACUUUGGGCCGGGCACGGUGGCUCAUGCCUGUAAUCCCAGCACUUUGGGAGGCCAAGGCAGGCGGAUCACCUGAGGUCAGAGGUUCAAGACCAGCCUGGCCAACAUGAUGAAACCCCAUCUCUACUAAAAAUACAAAAAUUAGCUGGGUGUGGUGGUGCACACCUGUAUUCCUAGCUACUCGAGAGGCUGAGGCAGGAGAAUAGCUUUAACCCAGAAAGUGGAGGUUGCAGUGAGUCAAGAUUAUGCCACUGCACUCCAGCCUGGUUGAAAAGAGUGAAACGCUGCCUCAAAAUAAAAUAAUAAAAUAAAAUAAAGAUACAAAUUGGCCAGCUAGAGUUACCAUCAAUUAUCUGAAGAUAGUUCUGAUAGCUUCAGAAUUCUUUCAUACAAGGCAGGAAUGUAACUUGUUUUUCAAUGGCAGAUAAAAUCAAAGAGCAAAAGCAAAAGGUAGAAGCUUGAAAGACCAGAGUUUCUACAGAUUGUUAUUACAUGUUCCAUAAUUUAACAAUUGUCAUUGAAGUUGGUGAUUAUCUUGAUAUUGCACAUCUGUGAGAAGUAAUCAAACUAUUAUGAAUUUGAUAGAAUGCUUUAAGUUUUAUUUUCCAACAAAAGAAUGCCUACAUAUGGCAAAUUCAUAGAUCUGGAAUCCAUUUAUUUCAUCAAAAGAGGAUUAAAGUUUAAUUGUAAGCUUAUAUGAUACAUUGUUCUAACUGGCAACUAAUGAAUAAUUAAAAA